rnacentral:rRNA from 1 species
AGGACGAACGCUGGCGGCGUGCUUAACACAUGCAAGUCGAGCGGAAAGGCCCUUCGGGGUACUCGAGCGGCGAACGGGUGAGUAACACGUGAGUAAUCUGCCCCUAGCUCUGGGAUAGCUCCGGGAAACCGGGAUUAAUACCAGAUACGACCACUUUAGACAUCUGCUGUGGUGGAAAGAAUUUCGGCUAGGGAUGAGCUCGCGGCCUAUCAGCUUGUUGGUGAGGUAACGGCUCACCAAGGCGACGACGGGUAGCCGGCCUGAGAGGGCGACCGGCCACACUGGGACUGAGACACGGCCCAGACUCCUACGGGAGGCAGCAGUGGGGAAUAUUGCGCAAUGGGCGAAAGCCUGACGCAGCGACGCCGCGUGGGGGAUGAAGGCCUUCGGGUUGUAACCCCUUUCAGCAGGGACGAAGCGAAAGUGACGGUACCUGCAGAGAAGCGCCGGCUAACUACGUGCCAGCAGCCGC